rnacentral:tRNA from 1 species
GUUUAUAUAGUUUAUAAAAAACCUUACAUUUUCAUUGUAAAAAUAAAACAAUUGUUUUUAUAAAUU